UUAUACCAUAGUUUGGAUCAUCAA
rnacentral:siRNA from 1 species